CCUUUGAUGAUUCGGUGCAUGCGUCCAAUAUUUGGACGCAGUGCUCUGAUUGGUUGAUAACUGAUUCAUAUGAAGUGAUUGACAAGCUUCCAUAAACUUGCACUUCCCGUUUGUAAAACCGAGCAACGCAAAGCUUCGGAAUGGCGGCAAUGUAGAGAUAAAAGUGUCAUGUAUUUUGAUCCUGGUUGACUUUUUACUGUAAAUUAAUAUAGUAUUCAUAUAAAGACGAAUACUAAAAGCUUAAUUGCAUGCUUUAUUGUGUCCUUGGCUUGUCUGACUCCUAAGCUAAGAAUAAUUCUUGAGAAAGACUGCACAAAUUCGCAAACCGAAACCUAGGGACAAGGCAUUAUAUCGCCUCUCUUUUAUGAAACAAUAUUGGGAAUUCUGAUAAUAUUCAGUGCAUAUUGUGUGUAUUAAGCUUGUUUUACAAUGUUAUACUGACUAUUUAAUAUUUAUAAGUAUGCGGCGUUACAGGUAAAAUGUACAGUAAUUUACUCGUCACUUUGUUUACAAUAAUUAUCACAUGCAUGUUUACUGCAAUUCCACUUUUUGUUGCAAAAUUUGAACUAUAAACAUAUUAUUAAAUUAUGUCCAAUGUCCAUGGUAUAUCAUAUAUGUCUAUGUCUCACCGAAGCCAUAAAUUUCAGUAAGUUAUAUUAUUACUAUAUAUAGACUGUAUACAGUGUAUAUUAUAUAUUGCAGCACGAAGCAAUUCCAAAUAACUGAAUUAGUUAGCGGGUAAUAUACAACUUUAAACUUACUGUGCCUACAGGAGAAACACAUACAGAUUGUAAUAAAAAGUACAACUUGAUGUAUUACUCUGUAAAACCUCGAGCCGUUUUAACUUUUUUAGUAUGCCACAGUGGCGGUCUGUAUACGAAACUAUUAACGAAUUUGAAACGAAUCGGUUUAUGUUUACAAUAUCGUAGUGUAUUCCGG